GGCGGGACAAUCGUGUUGUCAAAUGAGGCGAGCUCGGGGAUUUGCACGAUCUUUUGGCCACAAUGUGUGGCUUGGCGAGAAGAGCAGCUGACGCGAUGACGCUUGUUGGUGUUCAGCGGCUGUAUAUCUUCGUCGGAAAGAAAAUUGGGCCUGUGAUAAGAUGACAGACAGAGCAAACCGGAUGCUGACAAACCUUCCAUGUCGAAAAACUGUCAUGGGACAGGAGGUAGGAAGACUGGAUAUAUAUACACUUGUGUGCUAGUUAAGAUGAUUAGCUAAACGAGAUGCACCUGUGCCAAAUUGGAUGAUUAUCUGAUCGUGCUCCUCCCGAACUUUGUUAAUAAAACCACAUUUUGUGAA